rnacentral:rRNA from 1 species
UACAGAGGGGGCAAGCGUUAUUCGGAAUUAUUGGGCGUAAAGCGCACGUAGGCGGCCUUGUAAGUCUCACUGUGAAAGUCCGGGGCUCAACCCCGGGAUGCCAGGGGAUACUGCGAGGCUGGAGACAAGCAGAGGUUGGUAGAAUUCCGGGUGUAGCGGUGGAAUGCGUAGAGAUCCGGAGGAAUACCAGAGGCGAAGGCGGCCAACUGGGCUUGUUCUGACGCUGAGGUGCGAAAGCGUGGGGAGCGAACAGG